rnacentral:rRNA from 3 species
GAGUGGCGAACGGGUGAGUAACACGUGGGUAAUCUGCCCUGCACUCUGGGAUAAGCCUUGGAAACGGGGUCUAAUACCGGAUAUCACAACUUCAGGCAUCUGGGGUUGUUGAAAGUUCUGGCGGUGCAGGAUGAACCCGCGGCCUAUCAGCUUGUUGGUGGGGUAAUGGCCUACCAAGGCGACGACGGGUAGCCGGCCUGAGAGGGUGACCGGCCACACUGGGACUGAGACACGGCCCAGACUCCUACGGGAGGCAGCAGUGGGGAAUAUUGCACAAUGGGCGAAAGCCUGAUGCAGCGACGCCGCGUGAGGGAUGACGGCCUUCGGGUUGUAAACCUCUUUCGCCAGGGACGAAGCGCAAGUGACGGUACCUGGAUAAGAAGCACCGGCUAACUACGUGCCAGCAGCCGCGGUAAUACGUAGGGUGCGAGCGUUGUCCGGAAUUAUUGGGCGUAAAGAGCUCGUAGGCGGUUUGUCGCGUCGGCCGUGAAAUCUCCACGCUUAACGUGGAGCGUGCGGUCGAUACGGGCAGACUUGAGUUCGGUAGGGGAGACUGGAAUUCCU